GUGCAGCAGUCGAGAAACUUUACAAUGUGCGAAAGCACGAUAAGGGAACUCUGAGUGCCUCCUAAGGAGGCUGUUCAGGUGUCUAAAAAGCACCUGGAGUAAGGGCUGGGUAAGACCGGUGCCAGCCGCCGCGGUAACACCGGCAGCCCAGGUGGUAGCCACUUUUAUUGGGUCUAAAGCGUCCGUAGCCGGUUGAGUAAGUUCCUUGGGAAAUUUGGCUGCUCAACAGUCAAGCUUCCAGGGAAUACUGCUCGGAACUUGGGGACUGGGAGAGGUCAGAGGUACUCCAGGGGUAGGGGUGAAAUCCAUUAAUCCCUGGGGACCACCGGUAGCGAAGGCGUCUGACCAGACCAGGUCCGACGGUGAGGGACGAAGGCUAGGGUCGCGAACCGGAUUAGGAUACCCCUGUAGUC
rnacentral:rRNA from 1 species